UGGGGAAUAUUGGACAAUGGGGGGAACCCUGAUCCAGCAAUGCCGCGUGUGCGAAGAAGGCCUGAGGGUUGUAAAGCACUUUCAGUGGGGAGGAGUGAUGGUAGGUUAAGAGCUGACUAUUAGGACGUUACCCACAGAAGAAGCACCGGCUAACUCCGUGCCAGCAGCCGCGGUAAUACGGAGGGUGCGAGCGUUAAUCGGAAUUACUGGGCGUAAAGGGUGCGUAGGUUGUUGUAUAAGUUAUCUGUGAAAUCCAUGGACUUAACCUGUGGCGGUCAGAUAAGACUGUAUGACUCGAGUAUAGGAGAGGGUAGUGGAAUUUCCGGUGUAGCGGUGAAAUGCGUAGAGAUCGGAAGGAACACCAGUGGCGAAGGCGGCUACCUGGCCUGAUACUGACACUGAGGCACGAAAGCGUGGGGAGCAAACAGG
rnacentral:rRNA from 1 species